UACGUAGGGUGCAAGCGUUAAUCGGAAUUACUGGGCGUAAAGCGUGCGCAGGCGGUUUUGUAAGUCAGUCGUGAAAUCCCCGGGCUCAACCUGGGAAUUGCGAUGGAGACUGCAAGGCUAGAAUCUGGCAGAGGGGGGUAGAAUUCCACGUGUAGCAGUGAAAUGCGUAGAGAUGUGGAGGAACACCGAUGGCGAAGGCAGCCCCCUGGGUCAAGAUUGACGCUCAUGCACGAAAGCGUGGGGAGCAAACAGG
rnacentral:rRNA from 1 species